rnacentral:lncRNA from 1 species
CUAAAUCCGAUUCCUAAGCAUAUAAAUCAAUUAAAUUACAUAAACAUCAUCUUAUUAUUAUCAUUAAUUCAUUUAGUACCAAAAGUCCUUACCUCUUUGAAGAAAAUCGAAUACAAGGAAGAAGAGGAAACCGAAGGAUUCUCGGAGCUUUGGCUGAAGGCUGUUGGGGCUAAACUUGGAGCUAUCCCCUCCUAUCCUCUUGACAAUUUGGGGGAUUUAUAGAGAAAUUAAUCCCAUUGAUUAGAUGUCAAGUUUCCCAGAGAAGAAGGGGAAAUUUUGAUGAGUUUUCAUUGAAUCUUCGGGUGAGGCUGUCGUGGGGUGAGAGGAAGAAGAGUGAAGACCCAAAUUCCCGUUUCUUCUCUAAGUUGAAGAAGGAACGGCCGUAGGAAAAUAGGGAAGGAAAAAGCGGAGGAAUUUUCCUUGGCUUAUACUAGGAAAUUAGUAGGAAAAUUCCCAAGGGCUAUUUAUGCAAUAUCUAAAACCAUGGGGGUCCUAAUAGCAAUUCAGAAAAUAGAUUAUACACUAGACUACAUACUUCAAACACAUACGGCACAUACAUGGCAAACAUACACAAAUUAUUAAUAGGUGUAUCUAUAAUUAUUAAAUCAUAGAAUAGUAGAGAUAAAUUUCAUAGAUUUAUUAUUCAUUUAAAGCACAUAAUUCAUUUAAUCACAUAAAUAGAAUUACUUAAUCAUUCAAUCAAAUUGAGUUGAUCACUUUUAACCAAAUAUUAAAGAUCACAUAAACAGUUAGGAUGCAAUAAACAUUUACUAGAUAAUUCAUGAAAUGGAAAUUAUCGAUUUACUCAAUAUAAUUUCAUAUAACAUGCUUAUGAAAAUGCGGGGUGUUACA